rnacentral:rRNA from 1 species
GAUGAACGCUGGCGGCGUGCCUAAUACAUGCAAGUCGAGCGAACAGAUGAGGAGCUUGCUCCUCUGACGUUAGCGGCGGACGGGUGAGUAACACGUGGAUAACCUACCUAUAAGACUGGGAUAACUUCGGGAAACCGGAGCUAAUACCGGAUAAUAUAUUGAACCGCAUGGUUCAGUAGUGAAAGACGGUUUUGCUGUCACUUAUAGAUGGAUCCGCGCCGCAUUAGCUAGUUGGUAAGGUAACGGCUUACCAAGCCAACGAUGCGUAGCCGACCUGCGAGGGUGAUCGGCCACCAUGGAACGGAGAAACGGUCCAGACUCCUACGGGAGGCAGCAGUAGGGAAUCUUACGCAAUGGGCGAAAGCAUGACGGAGCAACGCCGCGUGAGUGAGGAAGGUCUUCGGAGCGUAAAACUCUGUUAUUAGGGAAGAACAAAUGUGUAAGUAACUAUGCACGUCUUGACGGCACCUAAGCAGAAAGCCCCGGCUAACUACGU